rnacentral:rRNA from 1 species
UGACCGCUGGCGGCGUGCCUAAUACAUGCAAGUCGAGCGAACAGACGAGGAGCUUGCUCCUCUGACGUUAGCGGCGGACGGGUGAGUAACACGUGGAUAACCUACCUAUAAGACUGGGACAACUUCGGGAAACCGGAGCUAAUACCGGAUAAUAUAUUGAACCGCAUGGUUCAAUAGUGAAAGACGGUUUUGCUGUCACUUAUAGAUGGAUCCGCGCCGCAUUAGCUAGUUGGUAAGGUAACGGCUUACCAAGGCAACGAUGCGUAGCCGACCUGAGAGGGUGAUCGGCCACACUGGAACUGAGACACGGUCCAGACUCCUACGGGAGGCAGCAGUAGGGAAUCUUCCGCAAUGGGCGAAAGCCUGACGGAGCAACGCCGCGUGAGUGAUGAAGGUCUUCGGAUCGUAAAACUCUGUUAUUAGGGAAGAACAAAUGUGUAAGUAACUAUGCACGUCUUGACGGUACCUAAUCAGAAAGCCACGGCUAACUACGUG